UGAGUAACCUGUCCUUGACUCUGGGAUAAGCGUUGGAAACGACGUCUAAUACCGGAUACGACCUUCGGUGGCAUCAUCUGGAGGUGGAAAGCUCCGACGGUCAAGGAUGGGCUCGCGGCCUAUCAGCUAGUUGGUGUGGGUAACGGCCCACCAAGGCGACGACGGGUAGCCGGCCUGAGAGGGUGACCGGCCACACUGGGACUGAGACACGGCCCAGACUCCUACGGGAGGCAG
rnacentral:rRNA from 1 species